GAACAAACGCUGGCGGCGUGUCUUAAGCAUGCAAGUUGAGCGGCAAGGAGGAGAGAUCCUCCCUAGAGCAGCGGACUGGUGAGUAACGCGUGGGUAAUCUAUCUUAGGCAUGGGGAUAGUCACUAGAAAUAGUGGGUAAUACCGAAUAAGUUCCAUAAGGGGAGGACUUAUGGAAGAAAGGUGCUACGGCACUGGCCUUAGGUGAGCUCGCGUCCCAUUAGCUAGUUGGUGAGGUAAAGGCCCACCAAGGCGAUGAUGGGUAGCCGGCCUGAGAGGGUGUACGGCCACACUGGGACUGAGAUACGGCCCAGACUCCUACGGGAGGCAGCAGCUAAGAAUAUUCCGCAAUGGACGGAAGUCUGACGGAGCGACGCCGCGUGGAUGAAGAAGGCCGAAAGGUUGUAAAGUUCUUUUGCUAGGGGAGAAUAAGUGUGGGAGGGAAUGCCUGCACGAUGACAAGGACUAGCGAAUAAGUCCCGGCCAACUACGUGCCAGCAGCCGCGGUAACACGUAGGGGGCGAGCGUUGUUCGGAAUUACUGGGCGUAAAGGGCAUGUAGGCGGCUUGGUAAGCCUGGCGUGAAAGUCUGCAGCUUAACUGUAGGGAUGCGUUGGGAACUGCUUAGCUUGAGUUACGGAGAGGGAGCUGGAAUUCCUGGUGUAGGGGUGAAAUCUGUAGAUAUCAGGAAGAACACCGAUGGCGAAGGCAAGCUUCUGGCCGACAACUGACGCUGAGGUGCGAAAGUGUGGGGAUCAAACAGGAUUAGAUACCCUGGUAGUCCACACAGUAAACGAUGUGCACGAGGUGCUGGGGCGGUAGUUUCAGUGCCGGAGCGAACGCGGUAAGUGCACCGCCUGGGGAGUAUGCUCGCAAGGGUGAAACUCAAAGGAAUUGACGGGGGCCCGCACAAGCGGUGGAGCAUGUGGUUUAAUUCGAUGGUACACGAGGAACCUUACCUGGGUUUGACAUACGGAGGGAAGUGGCAGAGAUGUCACUGCGUAGAGAUACGGCUCCGUACAGGUGCUGCAUGGCUGUCGUCAGCUCGUGUCGUGAGAUGUUGGGUUAAGUCCCGCAACGAGCGCAACCCCUGUCGUUAGUUACAAGUGUCUAGCGAGACUGCCGGUAUAAAACCGGAGGAAGGUGGGGAUGACGUCAAGUCAGCAUGGCCUUUAUAUCCAGGGCUACACACACGCUACAAUGGGCAGUACAAUGGGAAGCGAAAGGGCGACCUGGAGCGAAUCCUAUCAAAGCUGUUCGUAGUUCAGAUUGUAGGCUGCAACCCGCCUACAUGAAGCCGGAGUUGCUAGUAAACGCAGGUCAGCUAUACUGCGUUGAAUACGUUCCCGGGCCU
rnacentral:rRNA from 1 species